rnacentral:rRNA from 1 species
GACGAACGCUGGCGGCGUGCUUAACACAUGCAAGUCGAACGAUGAAGCUGGAGCUUGCUCCGGUGGAUUAGUGGCGAACGGGCGAGUAACACGUGAGCAAUCUGCCCUUGACUCUGGGAUAACUGCGGGGAACUGUAGCUAAUACCGGAUACUUUCACUGGAAGGCAUCUGCUGGUGAAGAAAGAAUUUCGGGAAAGGCUGAGCUCGCGGCCUAUCAGCUUGUUGGUGAGGUAACGGCUCACCAAGGCGACGACGGGUAGCCGGCCUGAGAGGGUAACCGGCCACACUGGGACUGAGACACGGCCCAGACUCCUACGGGAGGCAGCAGUGGGGAAUAUUGCACAAUGGGCGCAAGCCUGAUGCAGCAACGCCGCGUGAGGGAUGAAGGCCUUCGGGUUGUAAACCUCUUUUAGCAGGGAAGAAGCGAAAGUGACGGUACCUGCAGAAAAAGCACCGGCUAACUACGUGCCAGCCGCCGCGGUAA